GACGAACGCUGGCGGCGUGCCUAAUACAUGCAAGUCGAACGCUUUUUCUUUCUCCGGAGCUUGCUCCACCGAAAGAAAAAGAGUGGCGAACGGGUGAGUAACACGUGGGUAACCUGCCCAUCAGAAGGGGAUAACACUUGGAAACAGGUGCUAAUACCGUAUAACACUAUUUUCCGCAUGGAAGAAAGUUGAAAGGCGCUUUUGCGUCACUGAUGGAUGGACCCGGGGUGCAUGAGCUAGUUGGUGAGGUAACGGCUCACCAAGGCAACGAUGCAUAUCCGACCUGAGAGGGUGAUCGGCCAAACUGGGACUGAGACACGGCCCAGACUCCUACGGGAGGCAGCAGUAGGGAAUCUUCGGCAAUGGACGAAAGUCUGACCGAGCAACGCCGCGUGAGUGAAGAAGGUUUUCGGAUCGUAAAACUCUGUUGUUAGAGAAGAACAAGGAUGAGAGUAAAAUGUUCAUCCCUUGACGGUAUCUAACCAGAAAGCCACGGCUAACUACGUGCCAGCCGCCGCCGUAA
rnacentral:rRNA from 1 species